ACUUGGAUAUGGAUUCUUCACGGUAACGUAACUGAAAGUGAAGACGUCGGCACAAGCCCUGAGAGGAGUUAUCUNUUCUUCUUAACAGCUUAUCACCCUGGAAUUNGUUUAUCCGGAGAUAGGGNNUUAUGGCUNGAAGAGUCCAACACCUNUNUUGGAUUCGGUGCGCUUGNNNCGGCCCUUGAAAAUUCACUGGAAGGAAUAGUUUUCAUGCCAAGUNGUACU
rnacentral:rRNA from 1 species